rnacentral:snRNA from 1 species
AAGAUAUGGGCCUCUCUACCUAU